rnacentral:lncRNA from 1 species
GAAUUUAUAGAAAAAAAAUUAAUAAUGUUAGGAGUGUAACGAAAAUUUCAAGAAUAAUAAUAAUAAUAAUAAUGCUGGAACCUAGAAUCUCAUAUUUUGACACCAUAUUAAAAUAAAUAAAAUACUAUCUUUUUUUUUAGAGUCCGGCUAUGGUAUUUGUAAAAAUAUCAAGCACUUGGUGAUGCCUAUAAAUUUGUUACCGUUAGAUCUAUUCUUUUGAUCAUUUUUCGCCCGUUAAAUCACACUAUUCAACCAACAACCCAGCCAACCCUAGGAGUCCCACAUCAUUCUAACCGCACAUCUCUUAAUCAAUAGCCAAAAAUCUACAAGCAUCAAUAACUUGAUACUUUUAAAAACAUAGGAGCUCAAUUCUUUGUUUUAAAAAAAUUUAAGCUGUGAGAGAAUAGAUUUUUUAAUAUUUAUAUGCAGCGUAUCCGUGCCGAUCAAGCAUGAUGGUGAUAAUAAUAAUAAUAACUU